rnacentral:sRNA from 1 species
GGGUUUGCUGCUCGUCGCCCGACGCAUUGCAGCGCUUUUCGAACAUGUGCUCGUACACCUUUCCGUCCGCGAAGCUGCAGUUGCACAGCCCCGCAUUAAAUCGAUAAGGCGCUUACAACAGUGUUGCUUAAAAUGCCAAAAAUUUAGCACACAUGCGCGGCAAGCUGGUCACACUUGUCGAUGAAUCGCAUUAAAUUUCGAUAGCAAGCAGCGCACACAUCGAUAGUCUAAAUAGAAAAUAUAACAUUGCCAAUUCGAUUGCGGAGUUCUACGCCAACACACAUUGUGGAAUAGCUGCCAUACGCGAAACGUGCACGCAUUUAAAUAUAACAUCCAACAAGGAGGACAGCCCACAACAGAGUCUUCCAGCAUGGGCAACAUACACACAACGGGCCCAAAUGAGGCUUUAAUUGUUUCAGGUGAGUUUCUGCCAUAAUUACGCACCAUGGGCAAUUUUCGUAUAUAUAUUAACAUAAACAUACAGCAGGGCGGGGCCAUAAAUACAAAG